rnacentral:rRNA from 1 species
UGGGGAAUAUUGCACAAUGGGCGCAAGCCUGAUGCAGCCAUGCCGCGUGUAUGAAGAAGGCCUUCGGGUUGUAAAGUACUUUCAGCGGGGAGGAAGGGAGUAAAGUUAAUACCUUUGCUCAUUGACGUUACCCGCAGAAGAAGCACCGGCUAACUCCGUGCCAGCAGCCGCGGUAAUACGGAGGGUGCAAGCGUUAAUCGGAAUUACUGGGCGUAAAGCGCACGCAGGCGGUUUGUUAAGUCAGAUGUGAAAUCCCCGGGCUCAACCUGGGAACUGCAUCUGAUACUGGCAAACUUGAGUCUCGUAGAGGGGGGUAGAAUUCCAGGUGUAGCGGUGAAAUGCGUAGAGAUCUGGAGGAAUACCGGUGGCGAAGGCGGCCCCCUGGACAAAGACUGACGCUCAGGUGCGAAAGCGUGGGGAGCAAACAGG